AUUGAACGCUGGCGGCAUGCUUUACACAUGCAAGUCGAACGGCAGCGGGGGCUUCGGCCUGCCGGCGAGUGGCGAACGGGUGAGUAACACGUAGGGAACCUACCUAUACGACGAGGAUAACUACUGGAAACGGUAGCUAAAACUGGAUAGGAUCAAUUGAGGCAUCUUGAUUGAUUUAAAGAUCCUUCGGGAUUACGUAGAGAUGGCCCUGCGGCGCAUUAGCUAGUUGGUGAGGUAACGGCCCACCAAGGCGACGAUGCGUAGCUGAGCUGAGAGGCUAAACAGCCACACUGGUACUGAGACACGGACCAGACUCCUACGGGAGGCAGCAGUGAGGAAUAUUGGUCAAUGGACGCAAGUCUGAACCAGCCACGUCGCGUGAAGGAAGACGGCCCUACGGGUUGUAAACUUCUUUUGCAAGGGAAUAAAGUGGGCCACGUGUGGCCUUUUGCAAGUACCUUGCGAAUAAGGAUCGGCUAACUCCGUGCCAGCAGCCGA
rnacentral:rRNA from 1 species